UGGGGAAUUUUGGACAAUGGGCGAAAGCCUGAUCCAGCAAUGCCGCGUGUGUGAAGAAGGCCUUCGGGUUGUAAAGCACUUUUGUCCGGAAAGAAAUCCUUGGCUCUAAUACAGUCGGGGGAUGACGGUACCGGAAGAAUAAGCACCGGCUAACUACGUGCCAGCAGCCGCGGUAAUACGUAGGGUGCAAGCGUUAAUCGGAAUUACUGGGCGUAAAGCGUGCGCAGGCGGUUUGCUAAGACCGAUGUGAAAUCCCCGGGCUCAACCUGGGAACUGCAUUGGUGACUGGCAGGCUAGAGUAUGGCAGAGGGGGGUAGAAUUCCACGUGUAGCAGCGAAAUGCGUAGAGAUGUGGAGGAAUACCGAUGGCGAAGGCAGCCCCCUGGGCCAAUACUGACGCUCAUGCACGAAAGCGUGGGGAGCAAACAGGAUUAGAUACCCUGGUAGUCCACGCCCUAAACGAUGUCAACUAGUUGUUGGGGAUUCAUUUCCUUAGUAACGUAGCUAACGCGUGAAGUUGACCGCCUGGGGAGUACGGUCGCAAGAUUAAAACUUAAAGGAAUUGACGGGGUCAUAGCUGUUUCCU
rnacentral:rRNA from 1 species